GUUAUGUAUUGUAAAAAUAAUAUUUUUAUUAUACUUGUCAGAAAUUCGGUCAACAAAACGUAUUGAUGUUCUGAAAUAUAUUUUAUUAAAUAUUCUUUUUUAAUUGAUAUGAUGAUGUACAUUGAUAUAUUAUAAAAUAUUAUUUGUUAUAUACCACCUCAAAAAUUGAUUAAAGCGUAAAUGUUAAAUUGCAAAUAUGUAGCUCACUCACCAGUGUUUGGAUGUAACUGUGUAAUAAGAUCUGGUUUUUCUCCAGCAAUCUUAACAGUUUUUCAAAGUAUCAUCAUGUUUUUAUUUGAUUACAUGAAUAUACUAUUAUGAAAUUAAGAGAUAAAUUUAAAAUGAAAAUGUACUGAUAUUUUAAAAUUGAUCUUGUUUUUCUAAUCAUCAAAAAUAUUUAAUCACGUUAUUAAAAAUAAUAAUUGUGUAUAAGCCUAACAAUUCUAUAUUAAUUCAUUUUUCAUGUCAUACAUUGUUCAUAUUAUAAAAACAUCAUUCGUAAUUAUUUUUAUUUUUUUUAUAAAAAUAGGAAUGUUGUUUUCAAAUUAUUGUGCCAAUUGCAGUUAUAGAAAAUCUCCGAUUUAUAUAAGUGGAUCAUUUUUCAAAACCCUACGUAAAUCAGAAUGUAUGUCUGAGCAUACCCUGUUCAGUAGCAGUUGUCACAAAACAUGAUAAUUAAAAUAGUGAUAUUAAAGAGUAAGCACACAAGUCAGCUAGAUGGGUGCAUGAUAAAACAGUCACUUACUUCUUGGAGGAUCCAGAUUUAAUUUAGAGCCCCAUGCCUCUAUUUUUCCAGGAGAAAUCUGAGUUCAGACAUAACAUGUUAACUAAAAUUGAUCUAAUAAAUAUAUAAGCUAUUUUUUCCUAAUUUUGUCAUUUAUUAUAUAUUCGCAUUGUAGUUUUAUCCAUUUCAAUCAGUAAAUUGUUCUUGUAAACCAGGAAAUCUUGCAUAAGUACAGAUCCACAUGUUGGAGAUUGCUGUAUUAAUAUGUAAUAUAUUUAUAAAUGAGUUGUUACUUUGUUAUAUAAUUGAAUUACUUUGGAAAAAAAUAAUUUUUCAAUAAUUAAUUAGAUUUAUUAUUCAACACAUUGCAUAUUUAAUUAAUAAAGUGACUAAUUUAAUUUCCUUAAAUUUCACUGAAAAAAAUAUCUUUGCUCUGUGAAUUCUAUUUAUUGUAUUUAAAAAAAAAUUAUAUAUCUUGAUUCAAACUAAAUUAUCUAUAAUGAUAUCACUAAAUUAAUGUUCUAUGAAGAUUUAUGAAUUAAAAUGUAUUUUUAAAAUGAGCUCAAUAUUUUAUAAAACUGACGGUUAAAAAAAUGUUUUUUUUAUGUAAUUUUACAGGAUGUUUUUGUUACAUUAAUGAAAUACUGUUUAUAGCUGUAUCUGCUACUGUUUAUGUAUAAAAGUGCUAAUAAUAAAUAAUUACG
rnacentral:lncRNA from 1 species